rnacentral:rRNA from 1 species
AGCAGCCGCGGUAAUUCCAGCUCCAAUAGCGUAUAUUAAAGUUGUUGCAGUUAAAAAGCUCGUAGUUGAAUUUCGAGAUCAAUUUGUUGGUCGUGCCUCGGUACGUACUGGCAAUUUUGAUUUCUCCCUUCUGAAGAACCAUGAUGUCAUUAAUUUGGUGUCAUGGGGAAUCAGGACCGUUACUUUGAAAAAUUGAGUGUUUAAAGCAGGCUCGCGCUUGAAUACAUUAGCAUGGAAUAAUGAAAUAGGACGUUUGAUUCUAUUUUGUUGGUUUCUAGGAUCGACGUAAUGAUUAAUAGGGAUAGUUGGGGGCAUUAGUAUUCAAUUGUCAGAGGUGAAAUUCUUGGAUUUAUUGAAGACUAACUACUGCGAAAGCAUUUGCCAAGGAUGUUUUCAUUAAUCAAGAACGAAAGUUAGGGGAUCGAAGACGAUCAGAUACCGUCGUAGUCU